UCCGGUUGAUCCUGCCGGAGGUCAUUGCUAUUGGAGUCCGAUUUAGCCAUGCUAGUCGCACGAGUUCAGACUCGUGGCAGAUAGCUCAGUAACACGUGGCCAAACUACCCUAUAGAUCCGGCCAACCUCGGGAAACUGAGGCUAAUCCGGAAUANCGCUUUCAGCCUGGAGUGGCGAGAGCGAGAAACGCUCCGGCGCUAUAGGAUGUGGCUGCGGCCGAUUAGGUAGACGGUGGGGUAACGGCCCACCGUGCCAGUAAUCGGUACGGGUUGUGAGAGCAAGAGCCCGGAGACGGUAUCUGAGACAAGAUACCGGGCCCUACGGGGCGCAGCAGGCGCGAAACCUUUACACUGCACGCGAGUGCGAUAAGGGGACUCCAGGUGCGAGGGCAUAUAGUCCUCGCUUUUCUCGACCGUAGGGAGGUCGAGGAACAAGUGCUGGGCAAGACCGGUGCCAGCCGCCGCGGUAAUACCGGCAGCACAAGUGAUGACCGCUGUUAUUGGGCCUAAAGCGUCCGUAGCUGGCCAGACAAGUUCAUCGGGAAAUCUGUGCGCCUAACGCACAGGCGUCCGGUGGAAACUGCCUGGCUUGGGACCGGAAGACCAGAGGGGUACGUCUGGGGUAGGAGUGAAAUCCCGUAAUCCUGGACGGACCACCGGUGGCGAAAGCGCCUCUGGAAGACGGAUCCGACGGUGAGGGACGAAAGCUCGGGUCACGAACCGGAUUAGAUACCCGGGUAGUCCGAGCUGUAAACGAUGUCUGCUAGGUGUGACACAGGCUACGAGCCUGUGUUGUGCCGUAGGGAAGCCGUGAAGCAGACCGCCUGGGAAGUACGUCUGCAAGGAUGAAACUUAAAGGAAUUGGCGGGGGAGCACUACAACCGGAGGAGCCUGCGGNAGCCGUGAAGCAGACCGCCUGGGAAGUACGUCUGCAAGGAUGAAACUUAAAGGAAUUGGCGGGGGAGCACUACAACCGGAGGAGCCUGCGGUUUAAUUGGACUCAACGCCGGACAUCUCACCAGCAUCGACAGUGUGCAGUGACAGUCAGUGUGAUGAGCUUACUUGAGCCACUGAGAGGAGGGGCAUGGCCGCCGUCAGCUCGUACCGUGAGGCGUCCUGUUAAGUCAGGCAACGAGCGAGACCCGCACCCUUAAUUGCCAGCAACACCCUUGUGGUGGUUGGGUACAUUAAGAGGACUGCCAGUGCCAAACUGGAGGAAGGAACGGGCAACGGUAGGUCAGUAUGCCCCGAAUGUGCUGGGCGACACGCGGGCUACAAUGGUCGAGACAGUGGGAUGCAACGCCGAAAGGCGACGCUAAUCUCCGAAACUCGAUCGUAGUUCGGAUUGAGGGCUGAAACUCGCCCUCAUGAAGCUGGAUUCGGUAGUAAUCGCGCCUCAGAAGGGCGCGGUGAAUACGUCCCUGCUCCUUGCACACACCGCCCGUCAAAGCACCCGAGUGGGGUCCGGAUGAGGCCCGGUUUCCGGGUCGAAUCUGGGCUCCGCAAGGGGGCUUAAGUCGUAACAAGGUAGCCGUAGGGGAAUCUGCGGCUG
rnacentral:rRNA from 1 species